AGGGUUCGAGUUCUGGCUCAGGAUGAACGCUAGCGAUAGGCUUAACACAUGCAAGUCGAGGGGCAGCACGGUGUAGCAAUACACUGGUGGCGACCGGCGUACGGGUGCGUAACACGUAUGCAACCUACCCGCUAUUGGGGGAUAACCCGGCGAAAGUCGGACUAAUAUCCCAUAUUAUUCUUACCGGGCAUCCGGUGAGUCUGAAAGAUUUAUCGAUUGCGGAUGGGCAUGCGGAUGAUUAGCUAGUAGGUGGGGUAACGGCUCACCUAGGCGACGAUCAUUAGGGGUUCUGAGAGGAAGGUCCCCCACACUGGAACUGAGACACGGUCCAGACUCCUACGGGAGGCAGCAGUGAGGAAUAUUGGUCAAUGGGCGCUAGCCUGAACCAGCCAAGUCGCGUGAAAGGAUGACAGACCUAUGGUUUGUAAACUUCUUUUGCAGGGGAGUAAAGUGCGACACGUGUGUUGUAUUGCAAGUACCCUGCGAAUAAGCAUCGGCUAACUCCGUGCCAGCCGCGGC
rnacentral:rRNA from 1 species